CCUAAUCUCUCAGCAGCAGCCUCUCUCUUCCCACUCUCUCACUGUCUUCUGGAUCGUUCUUUGAUCUCUCCUCUCUCUCUGGCGAUCGUUCUUUCCUCUCUUCUUCGGCAACACUUGUGGACUGGUUGCGGCUCCACACCGUAUGAGGAGUCAUCUCAAUUUAGGAAUCUCCAAGCCAGAAGAGGUUUCAGAUGAUACAGUGAAAGCUGUGGCUGAUACUUUAAAGAAUUCUAAUUUUCUAGGUUUCUGAAGAUGGUAAGAAGAUUGGUAGGGCUACUGAGCUUUUGCUGCCAUAUGAGGUCAUAGAAUAAUUAGACAGUAGGACAAUUGUUGCAUCACCCAUAGAGUAUGAUGUCAAGCUUGAAGAUGUGGAAUCCUUCUUUGGUCAGUUUGCCAAGGUAUUGGUUUCACCCCCUUUCCCCUUCCUUUUCUUUUCUUUUCUUUUUCUCAGUAAUUUAGGUACUUUUGAGCAUGCCUAUCCUUUUGUAGAAUCUCCUAAUACUUAUGUACAGAACUUAGCUGGGUAACGUAGGUUUUCUUCUUGAUUGUAAUGUCUUUGAAAGAAGCCUACUUUUGUUUCAACUACCCUUGUGAAAUGUUCACAAUGUAUGUGUAGUCAUUUUCUGAAAAA